ACCGGCUCAUCUGAAUCAUUGAAAAGAUUCACUUCCAAUGAAUGAAUCAUUAACGGAUCGGACAUCGCUCUAUAGUGCCAUCAACCUCCGCCCAUAAACUCUGCCACUUCCUCUUCACGUUUAAUUGCCUACAUACUCAAACAGAUGACACAUCUACCGACACCGAUGGCUGUGGGAAGAGGGAGACUUUCCAUUAAGGAUUCUUUGAGGAAAUGACUGGCUGAGUCGCAUUUCCGUGGUAAAGUGAAGAGCUUGCUGGGAAUGAUUAUUCUCGCUGACUAUAAUGAAACAAGCGGCGCUGGACGUGUAUUCAGUAUUACUUGCAGACAGAUGUGUUGAAGACCGUUCAUUAGAAGAAACUAUGAUACUCAUCCACUGAUGUUCAACUUCAUGAUCAAAACAAACGCACGUCGGACUGCGUCAACCCGACAAGAUCUAAUAUAGAUACCGAAUUUUCUGUUGUUGGCACACUUUGUAAACAAAAAAAAAAAGAAAAAGAAAAUGCCUUCACAAAAACAAGACAGAGAGAGAAAGAGUGAAGGGAGGCUGCUAAAGGCAGUUCAACAUUGCAAACAUGAAUACAAAGCUCCAGCAAGCCAGCAGGAUGGUCUGCGAUUUCUUGGAACUGCAAGGAUAUGAACUGACACAGGGGCUGGACUGACUUUUGUGCUGUGCUCUGUGAAACACAACUUAAAAACCAUACUCAAACUCUCAUACACACAUGCACAGUGAUACGCGUGGUGUUACAAGGGCGGAAAACAACGUGCCUACUAAUGAUGGCGUAGCCAGAAGAAACAACAUGUCCUUCCAGCACAGAUGGCAAGUUUCAUUGGGGAUCUUGCUUGUGAUGGCAGGCCUGGUGCUCUUUAUGACUAUGGAUAUGUACAUUGUUCUCAUUGGCAUGGCUAUAGUGUGUCUGGGUCUGUUUAUUCUCAUCCGUGCCUUCUGCACGGUGAUUAAAUCCAGUCAUGUAGCUGUGACGGGACACUUUCUUCUACACCCGCGAACAGGCACCCAAUAUACCCACCAUCAAGCCAUUGCGGUGCAAAGGAGGCUGGAUCGGAUCCGGAGGGCUACGGCAGAGCAGCACAGUUCAGUCCAAGUGCCUCCCACCUCAGACACCAGUCCACAGAGCCAACCUGCAACCCCUCCCCCCUGGCAAAUGGAGCCGCCACCAUCCUAUGAGACUGUUAUGAAGACCACUACAGCUGUAAACCAAGCAUAACCACUUAUUUGUCUGUAGACACCGACAAAUUAUGAUGUGAUUAUGAAAAGUUGGUCUAAUUGGGGGUGCACAGAUAUCAAAAAUCUGUCAUUCACAGUUAAGCCAGUAAUUAUUUUAAAGGAUUAGUUCACCCCAAAAUGAAAACUCACCCUCAUGUCAUUCCAAACCCGUAAAACAUUUGUUCAUGUUCGGAGCACGAAUUCAUUUAUUUUUGAUGAAAUCUGAGAGCUCCAUAGACAGCAUCGCAACUGAAAUGUUCCCAGGUCCAGAAACGUAGUAAACACAUCGGUAAAACAGUCCACGUGACAUCAGUGACUCAACUUUUUUUUGAGCAAAGAAAACAAAAAUAACAUAAUUUACUCAACCUUUCUUCUCCCCCGAGUUGUCUUCCGCCAUUUUGGAGAGUACCCAAGAACGUAUUGGACAUAAUCAGCGUUGUUUACGUUUGGGUGGAAAGCACGCGCAUGAACGUAAUAUGCGUUAUAAGUGUUGUUUAUGUUUAGAGGAAAGCGUGCGUAUGCACUGUAAUAAUCUCUAAAAUAGCAGGAGACGUAACUUGGGGGAGAAGAAUGGUUGAGUAAAUUGUUAUUUUUGUUUUCUUUGCGCAAAAAAAAAAAAGUAUUCUUGUAGCAUCACAAAACUGAAGUUGAGCAACUAAUGUCACAUGGACUGUUUUACCAAUGUAUUAACUAUGUUUCUGGACCUGAGAACAUUUCAGUUCAGAUUUCAUCAAAAAUAUCUUACUUUAUGUUCCGAAGAUGAACAAAGUUCUUACGGCUUUGGAACGACAUGAGGGUGAGUAAUUAAUGACAUCAUUUUCAUUUUGGGGUGAACUAACCCUUUAAUCUAAUGGCUGAUAACUGAUAAAUAGCCAUAUCAAAAUCUAUUUCAUUUAAAUAAAUAAAUAAAUAAAUACUUUAAAUGCUACAACUAAAUGUAGGCAUCAAAACACAGCGAUGUGAUGAAAGAUGGAUUUUUUUUUCAUGUGCCGUAUGAAAGGUAUUUUUCAGUAACUUUCAUUUUUAGAUCUGCUACUAAUUUUUUUGAUUUGAAUGAAAAAAAAUGUAUGCAUGAACACAGCUCUGCAUGCACUCUACAAGAGAUGAAGCACUUAAAGGGUUAUAUUUUUAAUAUCUCUAUCCUGCAAGUUGAGUAUCUUGAGUAUAUUAAUCUUACUAAAUGAAUCUGAAUCUAAAAGGGAAACUGAACCCAAACUCCAGUUUCCUAUCUUAUGUACUGAUCUAGAAAUUUUUGCUUGUGUG
ensembl:lncRNA